rnacentral:rRNA from 1 species
ACGAACGCUGGCGGCGUGGAUAAGACAUGCAAGUCGAACGAGAUUUUCUGUUGUAGCAAUACGAUGGAAAGUCUAGUGGCGAACGGGUGCUUAACACGUGGGCAACCUGCCGGGAAGUGGGGGAUAGCUCGCCGAAAGGCGGAUUAAUACCGCAUGUGAUUAGAGAGGACAUCCUUUCGAAAUUAAAGUCGGGGCAACCUGACGCUUCUUGUGGGGCCCGCGGCCUAUCAGCUAGUUGGUGAGGUAACGGCUCACCAAGGCUUUGACGGGUAGCUGGUCUGAGAGGACGACCAGCCACACUGGGACUGAGACACGGCCCAGACACCUACGGGUGGCAGCAGUCGAGAAUUUUUGACAAUGGGGGAAACCCUGAUCGAGCGACGCCGCGUGGAGGAUGAAGGUCUUCGGAUUGUAAACUCCUGUCAUUGGGGAACAAGGUGCAUACGUUAACUGCGUGUGCAUUGAUAGUACCCGAAGAGGAAGAGACGGCUAACUCUGUGCCAGCAGCCGCGGUAAUACAGAGGUCUCAAGCGUUGUUCGGAUUCAUUGGGCGUAAAGGGCGCGUAGGCGGCGCGGUAAGUCGGGUGUGAAAUCUCGGGGCUUAACUCCGAAACUGCAUUCGAUACUGCCGUGCUUGAGGACUGGAGAGGAGACUGGAAUUUACGGUGUAGCGGUGAAAUGCGUAGAUAUCGUAAGGAAGACCAGUGGCGAAGGCGGGUCUCUGGACAGUUCCUGACGCUGAGGCACGAAGGUCAGGGGAGCAAACGGGAUUAGAUACCCCGGUAGUCCUGACAGUAAACGGUGCACGUUUGGUGUGGGAGGAUUCGACCCCUUCUGCGCCGGAGCUAACGCGUUAAACGUGCCGCCUGGGGAGUACGGUCGCAAGAUUAAAACUCAAAGAAAUUGACGGGGGCCCGCACAAGCGGUGGAGUAUGUGGCUCAAUUCGAUGCAACGCGAAGAACCUUACCAGGCCUUGACAUGCAUCUCUAAGUUGGUGAAAGCCAGCGAGUCCCGAAAGGGACAAUUUGCACAGGUGCUGCAUGGCUGUCGUCAGCUCGUGUCGUGAGAUGUUGGGUUAAGUCCCGCAACGAGCGCAACCCCUAUCAUUAGUUACCAGCGGGUCAUGCCGGGAACUCUAAUGAGACCGCCGAUACAUAAAUCGGAGGAAGGUGGGGAUGACGUCAAGUCAUCAUGGCCCUUAUGUCCAGGGCUACACACGUGCUACAAUGGUCGGUACAAACUGUCGCGAACCCGUGAGGGGGAGCCAAUCGGAAAAAACCGACCUCAGUACAGAUAAGAGUCUGCAACUCGACUCUUUGAAGUUGGAAUCGCUAGUAAUCGCUGAUCAGCAGGCAGCGGUGAAUACGUUCCCGGGCCUUGUACACACCGCCCGUCACACCAUGGGAGUUGGUUUGACUCCAGAAGGUAGCGCGCUAACCGCAAGGAGGCAGCUAACCACGGUAGGGUCAGCGACUGGGGUG